rnacentral:rRNA from 1 species
GACGAACGCUGGCGGCGUGCGUAAUACAUGCAAGUAGAACGCUGAAGGAGGAGCUUGCUUCUCCGGAUGAGUUGCGAACGGGUGAGUAACGCGUAGGUAACCUGCCUGGUAGCGGGGGAUAACUAUUGGAAACGAUAGCUAAUACCGCAUAAGAGUAGAUGUUGCAUGACAUUUGCUUAAAAGGUGCAAUUGCAUCACUACCAGAUGGACCUGCGUUGUAUUAGCUAGUUGGUGGGGUAACGGCUCACCAAGGCGACGAUACAUAGCCGACCUGAGAGGGUGAUCGGCCACACUGGGACUGAGACACGGCCCAGACUCCUACGGGAGGCAGCAGUAGGGAAUCUUCGGCAAUGGACGGAAGUCUGACCGAGCAACGCCGCGUGAGUGAAGAAGGUUUUCGGAUCGUAAAGCUCUGUUGUAAGAGAAGAACGAGUGUGAGAGUGGAAAGUUCACACUGUGACGGUAUCUUACCAGAAAGGGACGGCUAACUACGUGCCAGCAGCCGCGGUAAUACGUAGGUCCCGAGCGUUGUCCGGAUUUAUUGGGCGUAAAGCGAGCGCAGGCGGUUAGAUAAGUCUGAAGUUAAAGGCUGUGGCUUAACCAUAGUACGCUUUGGAAACUGUUUAACUUGAGUGCAAGAGGGGAGAGUGGAAUUCCAUGUGUAGCGGUGAAAUGCGUAGAUAUAUGGAGGAACACCGGUGGCGAAAGCGGCUCUCUGGCUUGUAACUGACGCUGAGGCUCGAAAGCGUGGGGAGCAAACAGG